CGAAAAAAUACGGAGAGGAUAUUAGUCUACCGUUGAUUCCCACUGCUCAUGACUUUUCAUGAAAAAAUUAUAUGGAUCUGAUUGGCAUGUAAAGAUACCCACACAGGUAUCUCGGUAUGAUUUGAAAAUGUGUUGACGACUCCUUAACCAAACGUAGCAGACGAAAGCCAAUCAAUGGCUACCAGGGGCGGAGAGUGGCUUGUCUGUCAGGUCGGCGCUAUAAUGAAUUGAAUAGGGAGGGAGGGGGAGAAUCCAAUCCGGUUUGAGCUAGUUUUUGUUCCAAUCGAACAUUAACGUCUUGCUAGGCUGUAAUAGAACGUACUGUUUGAAUCUUAUACCGAACAUACUGUAUUUUCUUUCUCGGUUUUGGAAGAUUUCCCUGUUUUUUUCUUUACACGAAACAGCCAUGCCUAAAAGGAGCAAAGCAAAUGCUGAUUCUGAGGCAGCAGAGCCCAAGAGAAGAUCUGAGCGAUUGGUUAACAAACCGGCUACUCCAAAGGCAGAGCCCAAGCCAAAGAAGGAGAAGGCAGCACCUAAGCCCAAGAAGGCUAAAGAGGUGAAGAAGACUGAGCCUGAGGAGAAGGAGGAGGUGCCCGCAGAGAAUGGGGAAGCCAAAGCUGAGGAUGAGGCACCAGCCACAGAUGAACCUGAACAGAAAGAUGAUGAAGAGGAGGCAGCAGAAUAACAUCUCUCAAACCACAUCUUUUAUCAGUGCUCCCUGUACCUCUUUUUCUUGUACAAUUCAGGGGAAUAUUUUUAUCGACUUUUCUAAAUGCAGGUUUUUUAGUAGUUUGAUUGUAGAAACAUUUUUUUAUGAAACAAAAUAAAUUUGGAGACAGGGAUUUCAAUGCAUCCCGCAUUUUUACAUCUCCGGAACAAUUAUGGUCAUUGUAAAUUGUCAAAUGUUUUUAUUUUCAAUGUAGGGGAAAGAAGGGGUGGGACAGGUUGCUGUAUCAAGAACAUGCAAUCACGUCGUUUACAGGAUCCGGUUGAAACAACAGAGCUUGCCUAAAAAGAGACUAACAUUCCAUAGGCUAUAUGAGGGAUGGUAUAUGUAACCUGCAUUGUGUGGUGGGGAGGGGAUGAAUAACUGAACACAUUGUUGUAUUGUUUAUAAUGAGGAAAUGCGUUUUAGAAUGUUUGUAAGCUGUGUUCCACAUGUUAACUCUUGUACUCAUGGCAACUUUUUUUUGCUUUUUUUUUUUUUUUCCCGAACCAUUCUGCUUAAUAAACCUUUUCUCUAGUACUGGAGUUUCUCCCUAUCAGGCCUGUGCAUUGCGCGUAAUUGGUUUUGUCUUUGUUUUGUGAUAGCAUUGCAAUACAUUUGUAUAGAUGCUGUUAAAAAGGGUUUUCAAACAUUAUAUGCAGUGUGUACACUGAGGAUGGUAAAAAUGGAAUUCUGUGUUUUUAGCAAAGCUAAUGACAUGCAUAACAGUGUGAUACAAACAGUGGAUUAUAGUUCCUUGAAUGCAGAGACUGUGCGUCCACUGGAGCUGUCAAAUACACACACCAGCAGUAGCAAUAUUCAUAUGCGUUUUAGGUAUCAAGUUCAAGUGUACAGUUUCUUUUAUUUGUUUAUAGAUGUAUCUGUGUAAUGAUUGGUAUAAACCAAUAAAAUGUGGUUAUAAUUGUUGUCUAAUUGUGUUAUGAAAAUAAUGUGUGAAUCCAAACCCUCUAGUUAGAAGUAGAUAGAAUUUUAGAAGCUACUUGAUUGGAAAGUUAAAAAAUACACAGCAGUAACAAAGAACAUUGCAAUUGUGACUGGGAUGUCAACUGUUGUUCAAAGAAACAAACUAGAUAAUCCUAUAUAAUGGAAUUAAAUGAGGGAGAAAAAUUGAUGUCUCCUCUGUACUUUGAAUUCAAGCUAUAUAUUGUACAGUGUGAGCUAAGAAUAUAGAAUUAUAGAAUCUGAGUAGCAAGGUGAUAAGUCAAUUCCUCCUUACUAUCUGGAUAAUAAGGAAAAGUUGAAUGUGUGAUUACAGAUAUUAUGUUACAGACCUAAUUGCCUCUUCCCCUGAAAACCAUAAUGUACACUUGUCAAGGAAAGGGCUGAUGGCAACAACUACAAUUUGUCCUUUGAAAAAACUGGUUUCACUUUACGGACCAAUGGAAUGGUUUAAAGUCUGCCUAAUUGGGACAUGCAAACUACUCACUACUUUAGUUAUUCCAACGAGUAUUCACUCGCAUUGGAUUUCCCACUGAUCAAC
ensembl:lncRNA